UACGUAGGGGGCGAGCGUUGUCCGGAGUUACUGGGCGUAAAGCGCGCGUAGGCGGUCAUUUAAGUCUGAGGUGAAAGGUUCAGCGCUCAACGUGAACAGUGCCUUGGAUACUGGGUGACUUGAGUUCGGGAGGGGGCAGUGGAAUUCCAGGUGUAGCGGUGAAAUGCGUAGAUAUCCGGAGGAACACCGAUGGCGAAGGCAGCUUCCUGGCCCACAACUGACGCUGAGGUGCGAAAGCGUGGGGAGCGAACGGG
rnacentral:rRNA from 1 species